rnacentral:rRNA from 1 species
GACGAACGCUGGCGGCGUGCUUAACACAUGCAAGUCGAACGAAGUGGCGAACGGGUGAGUAACGCGUAAUCAACUUGCCCUUCAGAGGGGGACAACAGUUGGAAACGACUGCUAAUACCCCAUACUGAUGGAGGGGUUUGCGUCGGAUUAGCUAGUGGGGGGGGCAACGGCCCACCAAGGGGAUGAUCAGUAGCCGGGCUGGAGGGGUGAACGGCCACAUUUGGACUGGGACACGGCCCAGGACCCUACGGGGGGCAGCAGGUGGGAAGCUUCCGCAAUGGGCGGAAGUCUGACGGAGCAAAGGCGCGGGAGUGAUGACGGCCUUCGGGUUGUAAAGCUCUGUUAAUCGGGACGCGGUACCGGAAUAGAAAGCCACGGCUAACUACGUGCCAGCAGCCGCGGUAAUAC